ACCAGUCGUAUGAUAACUUUUAAAACAUGUUUUAAAAGUCAUGUGAAUAUGAGUAUUGUGAAAGUGGAACAGUACUGUACAGAGCAGUAAAAUUAUACUACUGUACAUAGACUGUGUUCCAAGGUCAUAACACAUGGUAGCUGCUAUAAACCCUUUAUUUCAUUUGUAUCUUGAUCUUUUAAUUUUAAUUUACCUGUACACACAUGGAUUAAUAAAGUUUUCUUAAUCUAAAAAAAAAAUCAAAUGUAACUCAAAUAAAGACACUUUAAAAUGUAGUAUAUAGUAAUUUAGCAUAUCAAUAAAUGUAAACUUGCACAGUUUUUUUUUUGUCUUCUCUGCAGGUUUGUCGAUAUUUAAGUGAUGACAAAAAAUGAGAAUUUAGGGGAAAAACUGAGCCCAGAGUGAAUGUUGUAUGAUUCAUAGCUUCCUCCACGCCUAAAAUAUUCAUCCGUGUCUCACGUCAAGGCUUGAACUUCAGGGCAGAAUCAUUAUUUACUUACAAUUACAGAUAUUUGUAAGAGUUGACUCACCGGGUGUUUAAUUUUACUGAAAUAACUUGUCCAACUUCUGUAACUUUUAACCAUCCCAUUACUUGUACACAUAUGUACAUAUAAAGAAAAAGAAAAUAAAA